UAAAGAUAAUAAGGGCGUACGGUGGAUGCCUUGGCGAUAUCAGCCGAAGAAGGACGCGGUAAGCUGCGAUAAGCUACGGAGAGGUGCAAGCAACCUGUGACCCGUAGAUAUCCGAAUGGGGGAACCCGGCAGUGGUUAUGCACUGUCACCCAUAGCAUAGACUAUGAGGAGGGCACCCGGGGAACUGAAACAUCUAAUUACCCGGAGGAACAGUAAUCAAACGAGAUUUUCUUAGUAGCGGCGAGCGAACGGGAAAGAGGCCAAACCGGAGCGGGCAACCGCACCGGGGUUGAGGACAGUCAUCAAGUGUAAAUGAGGUAGAAGAAUCGAGCUGGAAAGCUCAGCCGCAGAAGGUGAAAGCCCUGUAAUCGAAACCUUGCAUACAUGGGACUGUAUCCAGAGUACCACGAGACACGUGAAACCUUGUGGGAAGCAGGGGGGACCACCCUCCAAGCCAAAAUACUGAUAUCGACCGAUAGCGCAUAGUACCGUGAGGGAAAGGUGAAAAGAACCCCUGGCGGGGAGUGAAAGAGAACCUGAAACCGUAUGUCUACAAACAGUCGAAGUCUGUAUAUAUAUCAGGACGACGGCGUGCCUAUUGAAGAAUGAACCGACGAGUUACUGUUGCUAGCGAGGUUAAGUGGAAAACAUGGAGCCGCAGCGAAAGCGAGUCUGAACAGGGCGUUCAGUUAGUAAUAGUAGACCCGAAACCGUAGUGAUCUAUCCAUGGCCAGGUUGAAGCACAGGUAAAAUUGUGUGGAGGACCGAACUCGUGAGCGUUGAAAAGCUUUGGGAUGAGUUGUGGAUAGGGGUGAAAUGCCAAUCGAACACGGAGAUAGCUGGUUCUCCCCGAAAUAGCUUUAGGGCUAGCCUCGAGGUAGAGAGUAUAGGCGGUAGAGCACUGAUCGGGCUAGGGGCCAUACCGGUUACCGAACCUAGUCAAACUACGAAUGGCUAUACUUAUACUCGGGAGUCAGACAGUGAAUGAUAAGGUCCAUUGUCAAGAGGGAAACAGCCCAGAACACCGACUAAGGUCCCCAAUGUUACACUAAGUGGCGAAGGAUGUGGAAUUUCCAAAACAACCAGGAUGUUGGCUUAGAAGCAGCCACCAUUUAAAGAGUGCGUAAUAGCUCACUGGUCGAGAGACUCUGCGCCGAAAAUGUCCGGGGCUAAAGUGUAAAACCGAAGUCGUGUCAUAUGCAGCAAUGUAUAUGGGUAGGGGAGCGUUCUCAUCGGGCUGAAGCAGUACCGUAAGGAGUUGUGGACUGAUGAGAAGUGAGAAUGUCGGUAUGAGUAGCGAAAAGAAUGGUGAGAAUCCAUUCCACCGAAAGCCUAAGGGUUCCUGAGCAACGAUCGUCGUCUCAGGGUAAGUCGGGACCUAAGCCGAGGCGGAAAAGCGUAGGCGAUGGACAACAGGUUGAAAUUCCUGUACCGGUGUGAAUCGUUUGAUCGAUGGAGUGACACAGUAAGGUAGGUCAGCACGCGAUUGGAAGAGCGUGUUUAAGCAGGUAGGUUGAGCUAUAGGUAAAUCCGUAGUUCUAAAAGCUGAGAUGUGAUGACGAGUGACUAGCAAUAGUCGCGAAGUGAUUGAUCCUACACUGUCGAGAAAAGCUUCUAGGUAGAGACACAUCGCCCGUACCAAAACCGACACAGGUAGGCGGGGAGAGAAUCCUAAGGUGCGCGGGAAAACCCUCGUUAAGGAACUCGGCAAAAUGCCUCCGUAACUUCGGGAAAAGGAGGACUCAUGUAGUGUGAAGAGCAGCAACGCUUGGAGCAUGAAUGAGUGGCACAAGAGAGGCGCAAGCGACUGUUUACCACAAACACAGGUGCCUGCUAAAGCGAAAGCUGAUGUAUAGGUGCUGACACCUGCCCGGUGCUGGAAGGUUAAGAGGAGGGGUUAGACUUCGGUCGAAGCUCUGAAUUGAAGCCCCAGUAAACGGCGGCCGUAACUAUAACGGUCCUAAGGUAGCGAAAUUCCUUGUCGGGUAAGUUCCGACCUGCACGAAUGGCGUA
rnacentral:rRNA from 1 species